rnacentral:lncRNA from 1 species
UUUGAUACAAAAUGUAUUCAUGAUCGGAAGAAAGUAAGUGGACAGAGGAGAGUGAUGCGAAAAUAAUAAUAAAAGGUCUAUCAUUAACAGAAGUACCCAGAAAAACUAUUGAACAAAAAUCAACAAUUCAUUAACAAGUCUCUCCUUCAAAUUAGAACUAUGACUAUCAAACAAGAUUUGGACAAUAAGUCAACAAAAAUCAUUUAAAACAUAAACAAUAUUUUAAUCAGUAUAUAUUUUUCCCAAUUGAUAUUGCAUUUGACCGACUACGGUGAGAUAUCUCACCGUUUCUUCAUCUGGCAGACGCAAUUACACUUCCAUUUUCCAUUCCCGACGUUUUUCAACUGCUGCUUCAGUUUUCAGAUCGUCAGCACCAAAUAU